GAUUUGCUGCUGCUGCUGCGCUGCUGCUGCUGCUGCUGCGCUGCUGCUGCUGCUGCUGCUGCUGCUGCGCUGCUGCUGCUGCACUGCAAGCGCACUGCCCACAGGGUCUACUUCUCUCUGUGCAGCAGCAAAGCCCCAGCAGCAACAGCAGCUAGUGCAGCAGCUGCUGCAGCUGCUGCAGCAGCAGCUGCUGCAGCUGCUGCAGCAGCAGCUGCUGCUGCUGCGGAUGCUGCAGCAGCAGCUGCAGCAGCAGCAGCAGCUGCAGCAGCAGCUGCAGCAGCAGCUGCUGCUAAAAUAU
rnacentral:sRNA from 1 species